rnacentral:rRNA from 1 species
UAGGGAAUUUUCGGCAAUGGGGGCAACCCUGACCGAGCAACGCCGCGUGAGUGAAGAAGGUUUUCGGAUCGUAAAGCUCUGUUGUAAGAGAAGAACGAGUGUGAGAGUGGAAAGUUCACACUGUGACGGUAACUUACCAGAAAGGGACGGCUAACUACGUGCCAGCAGCCGCGGUAAUACGUAGGUCCCGAGCGUUAUCCGGAUUUAUUGGGCGUAAAGCGAGCGCAGGCGGUUAGAUAAGUCUGAAGUUAGAGGCUGUGGCUUAACCAUAGUACGCUUUGGAAACUGUUUAACUUGAGUGCAGAAGGGGAGAGUGGAAUUCCAUGUGUAGCGGUGAAAUGCGUAGAUAUAUGGAGGAACACCGGUGGCGAAAGCGGCUCUCUGGUCUGUAACUGACGCUGAGGCUCGAAAGCGUGGGGAGCAAACAGGAUUAGAUACCCUGGUAGUCCACGCCGUAAACGAUGAGUGCUAGGUGUUGGGUCCCUUCCGGGACUCAGUGCCGCAGCUAACGCAUUAAGCACUCCGCCUGGGGAGUACGACCGCAAGGUUG